rnacentral:snRNA from 1 species
AGCUUUGUGCAGUGGCAGUAUCGUAGCCAAUGAGGUUUAUCCGAGGCGUGAUUAUUGCUAAUUGAAAACUUUUCCCAAAGUAUUCUCCUUAGGAAACCAUCCCUAAACUCUGUCUCCUGACCUUGCAUACCCACCGUAUCCCAACUCUAGGCUACUGGCUGUCUUAAAGGACAGUCUUUGUGCUUGUUUGCUGGGACCAAGCAG